UACGUAGGUGGCAAGCGUUGUCCGGAUUUACUGGGCGUAAAGAGCGCGCAGGCGGUCGUUCAAGUCGCGUGUGAAAGCCCCCGGCUCAACUGGGGAGGGUCACGCGAUACUGAUCGACUCGAAGGCAGGAGAGGGAAGUGGAAUUCCCGGUGUAGUGGUGAAAUGCGUAGAUAUCGGGAGGAAUACCGGUGGCGAAGGCGGCAUCCUGGACCGACAUUGACGCUGAGGAGCGAAAGCUAGGGGAGCAAACGGGG
rnacentral:rRNA from 1 species